CAAUAGCAUAUAUUAACGUUGUUGCAGUUGAAAAGCUCGUAGUUGAACUUUUGGUAGGAGCGACCUGGCCUUGGGCGCAUGCCCUUGUUUGCCGUGUGUCGUGUCUGGCCAUCCUUUUCUUCUUUUUGGAAGGAAUCUUUUACUGUGAGUAAACUGGAGUGCUCAAAACAAGACGUUUGUUUGGUACAUUAGAGCAUGGAAUAUUAAGAUAGGACCUGGUUACUAUUUUGUUGGUUUGCAUAGCUAGGUAAUGAUUAACAGGGACAGUUGGGGGUAUUCGUAUUUAAUUGUCAGAGGUGAAAUUCUUGGAUUUAUGAAAGACGAACGACUGCGAAAGCAUUUACCAAGGAUGUUUUCAUUAA
rnacentral:rRNA from 1 species